AACAACUGCCAAGAUGCAGAGCAUGCUCAGACUAUACUCAGCAAAGCCCUGUGUCAUGCUGAUCAUUGCUGUGGGUGCCAGGUUACUAACAUAGAUUGCAGCCAAAGAAUGUUAUUUUGAAAGUUUCCAGUGUUGGUGUUACAGGUGCCCCUCCGCAGCAGUGUUAUUGAGACUGCAUCAGUAGUGAACACAAACGGUGUGUACAGAGAAAAAUCAGCUGUCAAACUAUUUCUAAAGUUGGUACCUAAUCCUUAGAGGUUAUGCAAAUGGUGAUGAGCAGAGAGUCUGUUGGAGAAUGGCACUGUAUGGUCACAGCUCUGAGCGUGUACAUUUAGCAGCCACACUUGAAGGCAAGGCUACAGAAGAUGUUGCACAGAGAUCACCUUUGGAGUGUCUAAAUUCUAUCAGUAUUCUUCCUGUCCAAAUUCUUCUAAAAGGUUAA
rnacentral:lncRNA from 1 species